UUUUGAAACACUUCCAUCCACCUGAUAUCAACAAAAUGGCUCCUUAAUUUCUUAACAUUAUAGUACCAAUUACAUGUCUAAUAAACACAAUGCCAAUUCUUACCCCUUUUCUUCCCAAAAAAUUUGUCUUUGAAUUUCUCUUAUCUACCUUGAAUGUUAAAUUGAAUGAAAAACCAUCACCAAAUCAAUUUGCUUAGUUAAAUAAUAUAUCUAUUUUGUAGCGUCAGCAGCAACUUAAUCACGAACAUGUCACAUUUUCAGAUUUUCUAAUAGGCCAUGCAAGUUGUAAAAGGAUCAUAUAUAUAUAUAUAUUUAUACUCUCUCUGACUGUAAAGAUAGACCUAUUUCUAUUCACAUAGUUUAAAAAAAUGAAGUUAAUAUAGUGAAAGUAAUAAAUUUUAUCGAGUCUUUUUCUCAUAUAUCAUCCACUCAUUUUGCUCAAUUAAAAAUUAAAUGACUCAUGUUACUAAAUUAUUCUUGGAACUAAUGAAUUUUAAUUUUUUAAUGCAUAUUAAAUAAGGAUAUAUUAGUAAACUAAUAAAUAAACUACCAUUUCAUAAGAGAAAGUGGCCUAUUUGAGUCAAACGAAAAAGAAAAGCAAACCUAUUUUUUUUGGAACUGAGGGAGUGUGUAUGUUU
rnacentral:misc_RNA from 1 species